rnacentral:rRNA from 1 species
UACGUAGGGGGCAAGCGUUGUCCGGAUUUAUUGGGCGUAAAGAGCUCGUAGGCGGUUCCGUAAGUCGAGUGUGAAAAAUCUGGGCUCAACCCAGUGGAGCACUCGAUACUGCGGUGACUGGAGUACGGUAGAGGAGUGUGGAAUUCCUGGUGUAGCGGUGAAAUGCGCAGAUAUCAGGAGGAACACCGACGGCGAAGGCAGCACUCUGGGCCGGUACUGACGCUGAGACGCGAAAGCGUGGGGAGCGAACAGG